rnacentral:rRNA from 1 species
GAUGAACGCUGGCGGCGUGCCUAAUACAUGCAAGUCGAGCGAACAGACGAGGAGCUUGCUCCUCUGACGUUAGCGGCGGACGGGUGAGUAACACGUGGAUAACCUACCUAUAAGACUGGGAUAACUUCGGGAAACCGGAGCUAAUACCGGAUAAUAUAUUGAACCGCAUGGUUCAAUAGUGAAAGACGGCUUUGCUGUCACUUAUAGAUGGAUCCGCGCCGCAUUAGCUAGUUGGUAAGGUAACGGCUUACCAAGGCGACGAUGCGUAGCCGACCUGAGAGGGUGAUCGGCCACACUGGAACUGAGACACGGUCCAGACUCCUACGGGAGGCAGCAGUAGGGAAUCUUCCGCAAUGGGCGAAAGCUUGACGGAGCCACGCCGCGUGAGUGAUGAAGGUCUUCGGAUCGUAAAACUCUGUUAUUAGGGAAGAACAAAUGUGUAAGUAACUAUGCACGUCUUGACGGUACCUAAUCAGAAAGCCACGGCUAACUACGUG